GGAGACGUGGCUGAGUGGUCGAAAGCGCUCCCCUGCUAAGGGAACGCCUGGAGUAAUCUGGGUCGAGGGUUCGAAUCCCUCCGUCUCCG
rnacentral:tRNA from 1 species